rnacentral:lncRNA from 1 species
GUUCACUGAGGCCUCAAACUCCUAGGCUCAAGGGAUUCUCCUGCCUCACCCUCCCCAGUAGCUGGAACUACAGGUGUGCGUCACCAUGCCUGACUCUGGCUGUGUUUUGUUUUGUUUUAUUUUUGUAGAGACAGUGAUCUUGCUAUGCUGCCCAGGCUGGUCUCAACCUUAUGGGCUCAAGUGAUCCUCCCACCUCAGCCUCCCAAAGUGCUAGGAUUACCGGCGUGAGCUACAGCGCCCUGCCUGUUCUGGGCUUCUUGCAGAGCCUCUUCAGCUGCAGAGAAGCAGCUCUCCUUUCUCCAAGUCCAGAGCCCCAUCCCCAACAGGACGAAUAAUGAAGCUGUUGGGAAGAUUUACUGAUAAUACAUGUAAAGGGUCUAGCACAUUUUAGGAGCUCAAGGUUGGUGCCUUCCCUUUUUCUUUACUCUGAACCGGAUAUGAGGCCUUGAGAAAGAAGAGAGGCGCUUGCAA